rnacentral:rRNA from 1 species
UGAACGCUAGCGGCAGGCCUAAUACAUGCAAGUCGAACGGUGUCUUCGGACAUAGUGGCGCACGGGUGCGUAACACGUAUGCAACCUACCUUACAUUGGGGGAUAGCCUUUCGAAAGGGAGAUUAAUACCGCAUAAGACAGUAGUCUGGCAUCAGACAGCUGUUAAAGAUUUAUCGAUGUAAGCUGGGCAUGCGUCCAAUUAGUUAGUUGGCGAGGUAACGGCUCACCAAGACUAUGAUUGGUAGGGGAACUGAGAGGUCAAUCCCCCGCACUGGCACUGAGAUACGGGCCAGACUCCUACGGGAGGCAGCAGUAGGGAAUAUUGGGCAAUGGACGCAAGUCUGACCCAGCCAUGCCGCGUGCAGGAAGAAGGCGUUAUGCGUUGUAAACUGCUUUUAUACAGGAAGAACGACUCUUGCGAGAGGCAUUGACGGUACUGUAUGAAUAAGCACCGGCUAACUCCGUGCCAG